GAUACUCCCUCGACUCAUAUUCGAAGAGAAAGAAGGUGAGGAAUAAAAGGAGGAAUGUUCAAAGAACACGAGAAUAACCAAAAAGAUAUAUUUUAAGGUCUUUGGAUCCAACUUUGUAUGUUGAGGCCGAACGUCUUGGACAAAUCAAGUAUAACCAAUUAUUUUGGGUGGAAUGAGAAACAAAUGUUGUUUGGGGCAUAAGAUACAAAAAGGUAUCUCACCCUUAAAAAUGGAAGAGGGCAUGCAAUUUGUUAAGAAACGGGCUAUGGAAACAUCAGCCCAAAAAGAAAUUGGAAAAUUCAUUUGAAACAUUAGGACUAGUGGUUUAAAAA